UCCCUGCUCUAGAGAAGCUCACAGUUUAACAGGGAGACAGACAUGCAAACAAAUAUCUCUGUUAAGUUUUGUAAUUAUAGUGCGUACAAAGGUUACAGGAAGACAGAAGAAGGAGAAAAUAGUCAAUGUAUUUAAUCAUCCCAGCAACCCUGGGAGACAGGAAUUGUUGGCUCAUUUUCACAGAUGAGGAAACUGAGCUAAAACUCCUCAUGAAAUCUACAUGGAUGGAUGACAUGCAGGAAGAAACAUAAGCCAUUUCUACUCAGAGUUCACCAUAUCACUAAGAAUGAUCAGAAUGAUAGUGAAGCACUGGAAAACUCCUAAACAUGAGAAAAAGAAGAUAAUUUAGAGUUUGUUUAUCAGAGCAUCCAGGUCUUAACGACCAUCUCCCCCGGCCCUCCUCAACAGAAGUAACUGAAGCAAGGCGCCUAUGAACUCUGCCUCCCUGGCUCAGAAGCCAGUGCUGACCAG